rnacentral:tRNA from 1 species
GGCGGAUGUACCCAAGUGAAUCAGGGGGGGGGAUUUGGAAAAUCCCCCCAUGCCGGGGAGU